GGAGUUAGCCGGUGCUUCUUCUGCGAGUAACGUCACAGAUGUAAGGUAUUAACUUACACCCUUUCCUCCUCGCUGAAAGUGCUUUACAACCCGAAGGCCUUCUUCACACACGCGGCAUGGCUGCAUCAGGGUUUCCCCCAUUGUGCAAUAUUCCCCACUGCUGCCUCCCGUAGGAGUCUGGGCCGUGUCUCAGUCCCAGUGUGGCUGAUCAUCCUCUCAGACCAGCUAGGGAUCGUCGCCUAGGUGAGCCUUUACCUCACCUACUAGCUAAUCCCACCUGGGCUUAUCCAUCAGCGCAAGGCCCGAAGGUCCCCUGCUUUCCCCCGUAGGGCGUAUGCGGUAUUAGCAGUCGUUUCCAACUGUUAUCCCCCACAAAUGGGCAAAUUCCCAGGCAGUUACUCACCCGUCCGCCGCUCGUCAUCUUCAAAAGCAAGCUUUUGAAAUGUUACCGCUCGACUUGCAUGUGUUAGGCCUGCCGCCAGCGUUCAAUCUGAGCCAUGAUCAAACUCUGA
rnacentral:rRNA from 1 species